GUUGUGUGCUGUUGCUGUUAAUGGCAACUUGGCAACCAAAUUGCAGGCUCAUUUUCCUCUAUUAAUUUCAUCCAUUCAAAUACAUAUUAAUCCGUCAUCAUGCUCUCAAAUUUCAUAGUGAUAAUUCUCCAAUUGUGUUUUGAAUUGUGCUCUGUUGUGGAAUUGAAGAUAAAACAAUUUUCUUCAAUCUGAUGUGCUUACAAACUUUUGUAACCUCAAACUUCGAUCUUCUCGUGUCAUUAAUUAUUGUAUACUUCAAUUUAAUUGUGAAGUUUCUACAUUUUAUAUGAACUUAAUUACAUACUUCCAGUUUACAAAUAAUUUGAUUAUGAUUCUUAUCAAUCUUGGACAUCGUGUCAUCAAGUAUUGUUCACUUUGACUCAUUUACUUGGCUCCCACUUGUCUUCCUGUGGACUUCAUCCUGCUGCCCCUCUUAGCGUCCCUGGAGGAUGUUCUUCCUGAGGCUGACUUUAGAACUGACCGGCGCUGGUUUUCUCAUGUGGGAUGCUCACCACAUUUUCGACCUUUUCAGAAAAUAUUGAUCCAAAUUUCAAAAGCUGUAAGUAUGGAUCAUAUCAAAUUCGGAAUGCCUUCUUCUAUAUGGGAUGGCCAGAUGAUGUGGGUGACCAAGCCACAUUUGGAGAUACAAUGGGGAAUACAUUUG
rnacentral:misc_RNA from 1 species